rnacentral:rRNA from 1 species
GACGAACGCUGGCGGCGUGCUUAACACAUGCAAGUCGAACGGAAAGGCCCUGCUUUUGGGGGGUGCUCGAGUGGCGAACGGGUGAGUAAGACGUGAGUAACCUGCCCUUGACUUUGGGAUAACUUCAGGAAACUGGGGCUAAUACCGGAUAGGAGGUCCUGCUGCAUGGGGGGGGUUGGAAAGUUUCGGCGGUUGGGGAUGGACUCGCGGCUGAUCAGCUUGUUGGUGGGGGAGUGGCUUACCAAGGCUUUGACGGGUAGCCGGCCUGAGGGGGUGACCGGCCACAUUGGGACUGACAUACGGCCCAGACUCCUUCGGGAGGCAGCAGGGGGGAAUAUUGCACAAUGGGCGGAAGCCUGAUGCAGCAACGCCGCGUGCGGGAUGACGGCCUUCGGGUUGUAAACCGCUUUCGCCUGUGACGAAGCGUGAGUGACGGUACUGGGUAAAGAAGCCCCGGCUAACUACGUG